GUUUUCACAACCCAGUAGUUUUAUCUAGUUCAUCUCCAGCUCCUAAAGUGUGUGAUGAGGGCGUGGUAAAUGAGGCAAAUGUUGAAGCUGCAAUUCCAGUGGCGGAUUUAUCUUCUAUAAAAAGUCCUUCUCAUUCUAUAGGUAUAUCCCCUUCAACGACGCGGUGUGCAAUUCCUGUUGUUGGUUCUACUUUGGAGCCCUCAGGUCCUUUGUGUGUUUAUUUAUUUUUCUUGGUAUAGUUUGAUAUUGUUUUGAAACAAUUUCUGUAACUCACCCUCUUGUUUUGUGUUUUGUGUAGCUGGUCUUAUUAAGAAAUGCGAACCCAAGUCCGAUGAUAAUGGUUUCCAAAGACCCACUUUUGCUCAGUUAAAUCGCACUCUUGGUGUUCAAUCUAAUGGCGAUGUUACCAAUGGUGAGCCCAAUGAUAAAGAGGUCGAUAAUUCUUUUGGAGAACCGUCCCCUCUGGUUCCUAUUCGCUUGUCGCAGCGUUUCCAUAAUGCGCUAGGUGAUGUUGAGUGCUCUCAGUAUGUUGUUGAAAGAUUUAGGAAUUCGCUGGAUCCCCG